rnacentral:rRNA from 1 species
GACGAACGCUGGCGGCGUGCUUAACACAUGCAAGUCGAACGAUGAAGAAAAGAAUUGAAGCUUCGGCAGAAAUUCAUUUCGGAUUAGUGGCAGACGGGUGAGUAACGCGUGAGCAACCUACCUCUUACAAAGGGAUAGCCUCGGGAAACCGGGAUUAAUACCAUAUAACAUUGCGACGAAGCAUUUCGAUGCAAUCAAAGCUACGGCGGUAAGAGAUGGGCUCGCGUCCCAUUAACCAGAUGGUGAGGUAACGGCUCACCAUGGUAACGAUGGGUAACCGGCAUGGAAGGAUGAACGGUCACACUGGAGCUGGGACACGGUCCAGACUCCUACGGGAGGCAGCAGUGGGGAAUAUUGAACGCUGGGGGGAUCUAUAAGGCAGCGGGGCCGCGAAAGUGAUGAAGGAAUUAGGUUCGUAAAACUCUGUUAUAUGGGAAGAAAAGGACGGUACCAUAGGAGAAAGCUCCGGCUAAAUACGU